rnacentral:rRNA from 1 species
GGUAGUCCACGCCGUAAACGAUGUCGACUUGGAGGUUGUGCCCUUGAGGCGUGGCUUCCGGAGCUAACGCGUUAAGUCGACCGCCUGGGGAGUACGGCCGCAAGGUUAAAACUCAAAUGAAUUGACGGGGGCCCGCACAAGCGGUGGAGCAUGUGGUUUAAUUCGAUGCAACGCGAAGAACCUUACCUACUCUUGACAUCCAGAGAACUUAGCAGAGAUGCUUUGGUGCCUUCGGGAACUCUGAGACAGGUGCUGCAUGGCUGUCGUCAGCUCGUGUUGUGAAAUGUUGGGUUAAGUCCCGCAACGAGCGCAACCCUUAUCCUUUGUUGCCAGCGGUUAGGCCGGGAACUCAAAGGAGACUGCCAGUGAUAAACUGGAGGAAGGUGGGGAUGACGUCAAGUCAUCAUGGCCCUUACGAGUAGGGCUACACACGUGCUACAAUGGCGCAUACAAAGAGAAGCGACCUCGCGAGAGCAAGCGGACCUCAUAAAGUGCGUCGUAGUCCGGAUUGGAGUCUGCAACUCGACUCCAUGAAGUCGGAAUCGCUAGUAAUCGUAGAUCAGAAUGCUACGGUGAAUACGUUCCCGGGCCUUGUACACACCGCCCGUCACACCAUGGGAGUGGGUUGCAAAAGAAGUAGGUAGCCUAACCUUCGGGAGGGCGCUUACCACUUUGUGAUUCAUGACUGGGGUGAAGUCGUAACAAGGUAACCGUAGGGGAACCUGC